AGGAAACGUGUGCACACACUUGGUGCCCUGCAUUCCAUAUUCCUUGCUCGAACAGAUGGCUUCAAGAUGCGGUUCAGGAUCCAGAACUGCUAACCACUGAGGCGACCACUGAGGCGACCACUGAGGCUACAACGACACCCCAAGAAACGGAAAGCUCAAAGAAACAAGAACCGCCGAAAGAAGGACCAGCAAAAGAAGAAGGUGAAGGACACGAUGUUUCGCACGCUAUAGACUAUGGAAACGCGGGGUUUUAUCUCGGCUGCCGUGAUGCUAGCGGCAAACCUUACGAAAACGGAAAGGGUUGUGUGCAUUACAUGUAUGGUGCCCGUAGCGAUAAGCAUACAUCGAAGCUUCGUAGCUGCAUAGUUGGAAAGUGCCGGAACGGAAGAUGCAUACAUGAUGGGGG